UAUCCUACGGGGCGCAGCAGUAGGGAAUCUUCCACAAUGGGGGAAACCCUGAUCCAGCGAUGCCGCGUGAGGGAAGAAGGUUUUCGGAUUGUAAACCUCUGUGGAGGGGGACGAUAAUGACGGUACCCCUUUAGGAAGCCACGGCUAACUACGUGCCAGCAGCCGCGGUAAUACGUAGGUGGCGAGCGUUGUCCGGAAUUACUGGGUGUAAAGGGAGUGUAGGCGGGAAAGCAAGUCAGAAGUGAAAACUAUGGGCUUAACCCAUAGCCUGCUUUUGAAACUGUUUUUCUUGAGU
rnacentral:rRNA from 1 species